GAUGAACGCUGGCGGCGUGCCUAAUACAUGCAAGUCGAGCGAACAGACGAGGAGCUUGCUCCUUUGACGUUAGCGGCGGACGGGUGAGUAACACGUAGGUAACCUACCUAUAGGACUGGGAUAACUUCGGGAAACCGGAGCUAAUACCGGAUAAUAUUUCGAACCGCAUGGUUCGAUAGUGAAAGAUGGCUUUGCUAUCACUUAUAGAUGGACCUGCGCCGUAUUAGCUAGUUGGUAAGGUAACGGCUUACCAAGGCAACGAUACGUAGCCGACCUGAGAGGCUGAUCGGCCACACUGGAACUGAGACACGGUCCAGACUCCUACGGGAGGCAGCAGUAGGGAAUCUUCCGCAAUGGGUGAAAGCCUGACGGAGCAACGCCGCGUGAGUGAUGAAGGCCUUCGGAUCGUAAAACUCUGUUAUUAGGGAAGAACAAACGUGUAAGUAACUGUGCGCGUCUUGACGGUACCUAAUCAGAAAGCCCCGGCUAACUACGUG
rnacentral:rRNA from 1 species